UACAAGAGCGACAAACUUAACCGUUUGGCCUUUGAAUAAUAAUAGUAAUAAUGAUUAUCCUACCAUUGUUUGCUUCCGACGUUUUGGCUUAAUGCAUUCUUGUCGUGAACUGGGUUGGUUUGUUUCCACUUGGUAUUGUGGUGCGCGGCGGAAGGUUUCCUCUUUGGCUAGUGGUCAAGCGUGAAGUCAUUAUGGCUUUUUGGUGAGAAAUCACUGGGUCGCUAACGUUUAUAUUUAAUGAUCUUAUGUUUAAUUGAAGUGUGUAUUAGUUGUUUUUUUUAUGGUUUGGGUGAGUUAGCAGGAGCCUAGCUUUUUGCCAAUCGGCCCGCGUUAAGCUAGGCGGCUAACUUAAGCUAAUGGGCUAACCAGCUGCAAUGCUGCCCUAUAAAAAAAAAUUGUUCUGUCAAAUUGGUUUUCAUGUAAGCUCAUUGUUGUUCUCGGGGAGAAGGGGGGGGCGGUGUUAGUUAGAUAGUGAAACUACGUUAAUAACUAAUCAGCGAUAACAAGCCAAGUGUUGAGGAUGUAAACGUUACGCCACUUAUCACGGAUCUGAUGUGUUUGAAGGAUCUUCGGAAGAGUCUGGUUGCAAAAGAGUUCUCAGAACUAUCGAUUCGUUUAGCCAACUCGUCAAACAAUGUCAAUAUCACAUUUCUGAUUGAAAUAAAUUAAUAUGUCGACGAUAAAUGAAACUAUUUUAGUCCCACUAUAAGACAUGAUCAGUGUCAUUAAUAAAUGUUAAAAAAAUAGCAAAUGCAUGAACUUUGGCCAUCACAACACAAUGUGCAAGAAAAAUGCAUUUUCAUGUAUUUUAUUUCCUGGGGGCGCAAAUGGCAUCGGUUUGGUGGAAUGACCCAUUGACAAUACCGCGAUUGCGUCAAAAUUACGUCACUUGUCAAGGUGGCGAUCAAGUCAUUUGAUUUGUGAAGAUGAUUUUGAUUUCAAAAUGUCACUGUCAUUUGACUAUAAGGACAAUCUGCAUGCAGGG